rnacentral:rRNA from 1 species
CAGUAGCCGCGGGAAUACCGAGGGUGCGAGCGUUAAUCGGAUUUACUGGGCGUAAAGCGUGCGUAGGCGGCUUCUUAAGUCGGAUGUGAAAUCCCUGAGCUUAACUUAGGAAUUGCAUUCGAUACUGGGAAGCUAGAGUAUGGGAGAGGAUGGUAGAAUUCCAGGUGUAGCGGUGAAAUGCGUAGAGAUCUGGAGGAAUACCGAUGGCGAAGGCAGCCAUCUGGCCUAAUACUGACGCUGAGGUACGAAAGCAUGGGAAGCAAACAGGAUUAGAUACCCGGGUAGUCCCUGUCUCUUAUAC